rnacentral:sRNA from 1 species
GAAUUCCUAAGUUGAAUCUGAGAACUGUUACCUAAAAGCAUUGGACCAGAGAAGUUUUAGAGCUAAGUUUGGAGCCACGAGAAGGAAUUCUAAGGCAGAGGAACGUCGGGGAACCGUUUGAAAGCAAGCUUAGGAGAAAACCAAGUCAGUGAUAUGCCGGUGGAGCAAGCCUUAGAUGGAGGAUCGACUGAAUAAUAGUUUUAAUAAUGAAACCUAUGUUUUUAUUUCUGUUUUAAGGUGUGGAGUGUAAUUAGUUUGAUUUAACAGUGAGGGUUUGUAUAAUAAUGAGGAAAACUCUUAUUCCUCCUUCUAUCAACUGUUCUAUUGUAUCAAUGAUGUAAGAACUCUAUUAUACUUUGAUGCUAUAAUUAU